CGCAGCACAAGUGGUGGUCAUUAUUAUUGGGCCUAAAGCGUCCGUAGCUGGCCUGUUAGAUGCCUGGGUAAAUCGAUGCGCUCAACGUAUCGAACUCCGGGUAGACCGGCAGGCUUGGGACCGGGAGAGGCGUGAGCUACUCGGGGGGUAGGGGUAAAAUCCUGUAAUCCUCCGGGGAGGACCAGUGGCGAAGGCGUCACGCUAGAACGGCUCCGACAGUGAGGGACGAAGCCCUGGGGCGCAAACC
rnacentral:rRNA from 1 species